GAGAAAUGCAGCUGUUGACCGGUUGAGGAGCCAACUUGAAGCUUAUAUGCUGAAGAAAAGGACAGAAGAUCGGAUAGGCAGACACGAGGAUCUGCCAGGCUUGUUGGAUGUUGAAAAACACACUCCGAUGGUUCGACACACAGCGAAUAAUCUCAUAAUUAAUGAAGGCAAGGAGUUGGGAGAACUUGAAGAUAGCGAUGAAGUGGU
rnacentral:misc_RNA from 1 species